ensembl:lncRNA
CAAAAACAGAUGCUGAAGCCCCCUACCUGGAGCCUCAGUGCUUUGCUCUGAUAGACAGCAGGAGCUAUUUCAUUGUCAGCACUGGAUAUAACUGUAAAACUGAAAAAGAGACCGAGACAUGGUGAUGUAGACUGUAGUCCAUCCACUUGGAAGACUGAGGCAGGAAAAUUCUGAGGGCAAGACAAAAAUAAACUACACAGUGCGAUUCUGACUCAGAAAAUCCAAGCAAGAACAACAACAAAAGCUGAAGUGAGAUCAGGUUUUGGACUGGAGAGAUGGCUCAGAGGUUAAGAGCACUGACUGGUCUUCCAGAGGUCCCGAGUUCAAUGCCCAGCAACCACAUGGUGAC